AUUGAACGCUGGCGGCAGGCCUAACACAUGCAAGUCGAACGGUAACAGGAAGCAGCUUGCUGCUUUGCUGACGAGUGGCGGACGGGUGAGUAAUGUCUGGGAAACUGCCUGAUGGAGGGGGAUAACUACUGGAAACGGUAGCUAAUACCGCAUAACGUCGCAAGACCAAAGAGGGGGACCUUCGGGCCUCUUGCAUUCGGAUGUGCCCAGAUGGGAUUAGCUAGUAGGUGGGGUAACGGCUCACCUAGGCGACGAUCCCUAGCUGGUCUGAGAGGAUGACCAGCCACACUGGAACUGAGACACGGUCCAGACUCCUACGGGAGGCAGCAGUGGGGAAUAUUGCACAAUGGGCGCAAGCCUGAUGCAGCCAUGCCGCGUGUAUGAAGAAGGCCUUCGGGUUGUAAAGUACUUUCAGCGGGGAGGAAGGGAGUAAAGUUAAUACCUUUGCUCAUUGACGUUACCCGCAGAAGAAGCACCGGCUAACUCCGUG
rnacentral:rRNA from 1 species